UACCCAGACAUAUAUAUAUGUGUGUGUAUAUAUAUAUAUCAAGGAAAAGUUCAUCAUAACUAGGAAAAUAGCUUUUUUAGACAUGGUAUUACCAUUUAAUUACCUCAGAAGCAGUCAAUCAUCAAGUGAAAUUUUAUUAAUUAAAACUAACUUCAAAUAUAUAUGUAUGUUAAAAUAUAUAUCAUAGGAAUGAAAAAUAUUAAAUGUUCUCUUUAUUUUGCCUUUAACACAUUUCUUCAUUUAGCAAAUACUUAUUAAGGACCUAGUAUGUCAUGUACUUUUCCAGAUAAUGGGAAUAUAGCACUGACUAAAUGGUCAAAAUUCUCUGUACUCAUGGAGCCUGCAUUCUAUUGGAGGGGAGUGGAGUGUAAAACAAACAAUUAAAAUAAUAGUGUAUAUCGUAGUGUAAUGAGUGCUCUCGAUAAAAAUAGAGAAGAGGUUAAUGAUAGUGCCUGGGUUAAGAGAGAAGAGUGAAAUUUUAUAAUGGGUAGAUAGAGAAGGCCUUGUGGCUAAGGCAAUUUUGUAAUUGAAGUCUGUAGUUUGUGAGCAAGUGAGCCAUAAAAAUCACCUGUGUAAGAAGGCUGUGGCCAUGGAAACAGAAAACUCAAAGAUCUUCAGGCAGGAGCAUGGUGGGCUCAUAAUCAGCAGGGAGACCAUUGUGGCCAGAGCAGAGUUAGCAAGCGAACGGGGAGCAGGGGUAGCAGCAGACGCCAUGUCAGCCACAGCCCUAUGGACGAUUGCAAAGACUCUGAUAUUUACUUUGAGAUUGUCUUAAUUAUCUCAGACAGAUAGGCUAAAAUAACAGACGUGUAUUUCUUACAGUUUUGGAGGCUAGGAAGUCCAAGAUCGAGGUGCAGGUUGGUGCCCAGUAAGAAUUUUCUUCCUGGGUCUUCUCAGUGUGUCCUCACAUGACCUCUUCUGCACUAGCAGAGAGAGCGAGCAAGCUCUUUUCUCAUGAGGCCACUAAUCCUAUUGUAGGUGCUCCACACUCAUGACCUCAUGGAAAUUACCUCCUAAAAGCCCCAUCUCCUGAUAAUAUCACAUUGGUGGUUAGGGCUUCAACAUAUGAAUUUUGGGAGUAUACAAACAUCCAAUCCAUAACAUAAAUGGAAAGCUGCGGGAUGUUUUCUGGAGGAAGAAUUUUGUAAUCUUUUCCAUCUUUAUGAAAAAGUUGUGGACAUUGGAUACUAUGUUGAUAAGAAUAGGCAUAAAAGGUAUAAGAACAGGAGGUAUGAUGGACAGGUAGGCUGAAAUAACACAUUUAUACAAAAAAAUCUGAGCCUCCAAACGCUAGAAUUUUAAACAUGUACAAUCCUGGGGUAAAAAACGACGUCAUUCACUUCAUCAGGGUUUAGCUAUGGAUCAUGGACAAGAAUAUAGAACCUAACAGAAGUGGAUGCAAGUCCUGGCUUUAUUGCUGAAUUACAUAUUCAACUUCUUUACAAUCAAAGGAGGUGAAUAUACCUUGUUAGGGUGCAGUGAGGAUUGCAUGCAGUAAGUAAUGCAAGGAAUCUAUCUAAUAGGAAAUGCUUCUGUCUUCCUAUUUUUAAAUCCCCAAAUAGCAAAGUUAAGAUGAAUAAAACAGAACAAUUUUUCUCACUAACUCAAAAUAUUACCAUGUUCCUCCAAUCUAAACCAUACCAAACUUGUUUCAUGAACAACAGUCAAAUAAUUCCAAAAAAUAUUUUUUUAUUUGAUAGUUUCAUUGUUACCAUGGUAGAAAUCAAAACAGGCUUUCAACCAAUUGUUCUAAAUUUUACAGGAUGCUGACUCAUUCUUGUUAAAAUUGCUGAUUAGUCUAACAGGACAUGACUUACAUGAGCUGCCAUAUAUGAAUAUCCUCACCGUGACAAAUUUCCUAACAUAUCUAGUGCUCAGAUGAAGAGCUGAAAAAUCCACUACACUUCCAACCCACUGGUAUUUUUCAGGGUAAUUGUUUUCUAUGCUUGGUAUUUGUCACAAGUGUGAAUCUGGAUCACAAUAGAAUCAUAAAAGAGUUUUCAUCAGUAGGACCUUCUUAAGUUUUGUGUUUAUUGAUUUUUUAAAACCAGAUAAUUUGCAAAAAAAAGGGUUCUUUAAUUCUGGAAAGUACAUCAUUAUAUAUAAUAUAUAGAGUUGUAUGUUAAAUGACUAAAAAAGUGAAUGUUUUUAAAGAACUUUCAGUAAAAUGUUGUCAUGGUUCUGAUAUUAGCAGAGUAGCUUUUCCUUUUUUCUUUUAAAGAGCUAUUUAAAUUAUAAAGUCUUGAUUCUGACUCAUGCAACCAGAAAUCUGAUUAAGUGCUAAGAAAGGGCACUUUUUAAAAAGUACAAUUGCUUCUGUAACAAAGUGAUUGUCUAUUGUAAUAAAGUGAUUAGCUUACAUAAUUAACAUUGUUUCUCAUUAGGUGCGAGCAGGGAAAUGGUAAGAACAUCAUAAGACAUUGAGGACAAGCCUGAGUUAGAGAAUAUAAAUUUUAAGCUAGGCUAAUUUGACCAUAAUUAAUAAGUUUGGCACAAAGAGAAACAAUUCUACUUCUGAGGUAAAGAUGGCCUUUACUUUCACUAUCUUUUUAAAAUAACAUUUAUGUAAUACAUGCAUAUUCAUAGAGAACAAUAUACUAUUGACUUUCUGAUAAGAGAAUAUUGACUACUUAUCAACCCAAAUGCCAAAGAUACAGUAUUCUUAUCAUAUAGAUAGUGGUUUUUUAAUUCAUUUCAGAUCACAGAACAGCAGACCAAUUAGUAAUAGCUUUAUAGAUAUUGUAAAUUGCUUUAGACUGAAUUGUGUUCCCUCCAUCCCCAAUUUAUAUGUUGAAGCUCUAACCUCCAAUGUGAUGUGAUACUUGGAGGUAGGGACUUUAAGAAGUAAUUAGGAUUAAAUGAGGUCACAAAAGCGGGCCUCAAUCUGAAAGGGUUGGUGGCCUUCUACGAUGAAGAGGAAUCCUUCUCUUUCAUUGAGUACAUGCAGAUAUGAGGAUAUCUGUAAGUAGCUAUACUUUAUAGCUACUUCUUUGGAGGUUCAUAGUACACACUAACCCUUAAAAGGUCAAAGAAAUUCUGCUAGGAAUAAAUAAAAUUUGUUUUACCCAAUAUUUUUCAUAUAUGUAUGUGACUAUGUAACAUUUACCUCUCACAAGUAUGUUUCAGUUAAUUCACAUAAUCACUUUUUCAGAUAGCUGUAUAUUAAGAAAUGGGCAUAUUCUAAAUUUGAUACCAUUUAUAACUCACUUUGCUUUCUGUAUGAAUCACUUUGUACAAAUGUGACGUGGUUUGUUGUGAAAAUCCAACUUUAUUUUGAUAGCCUAUUAAACCUUUUCAGUGAGUGACCCUGGAUAAGGAUGACUUUCCUGGAGAUUCAAAAUAACAAAAUGAUCUAGAUUACCUUUAGACAUAAAAACAAUCUCAAUAAAAAUGUCUCAAUUAAGAAAUUCCGGCUGGGCGCGGACGCUAAUGUCUAUAAUCCCCGCACUUUGGGAGGCAGAGGCGGGCGGAUCAUCUGAGGUCAGGAGUUCGAGACCAGCCUGGCCAACAUGGUGAAACCCUGCCUCUACUAAAAAUACAAAACUUAGCCAGGUGUGGUGAUGUGUGCUUGUAAUCCCAGCUACUCGGGAGGCUGAGGCAGGAGAAUGGCUUGAACCUGGGAGGUGGAGGUUGCAGUGAGCUGAGAUUGUGCCACUGCAUUCCAGCCUGGGUGACAGAGCGAGACUGUCUCAAAAAAAAAAAAAAAAAGUUUAUUUUCAUUGUAAUAGUGAAAUUUCCAAAUUUGUGUUAGUGUUAACUCCUCUUCCCUACCUUAGUGAAGAGCUAAUGGAAGCCUUCAGUGGAGGCUGGGCUUUGAUAGCUGCUCUUUGAAUUUUGCCCAAACUAGGGAGAAGCAGAGAGAGGAAGGGAAGAACAAGGAUGGUUAGUCGUUACCUGUCUGGAUAACUUAGGGCAGGGCUGGGUAGAUGGCGGGCCUUGUAGCUAGUUUAUGCUGACUCUUUGUUUUGGAUUUCUGUUUUUUUCUGGUUCCUUUGACCCAGGCAACACACAUCUCUGUUGUAUGUGAAAACUUCCUGUCCAUUCCUUCCAUGGCCCUGGGAGCAUUUUGGAUUUGCUCCCCAGAACUACCUAGGGUACUACAGGAGAAUGAUUGAAUCUUACAUGCUUCAUGCCAGCCUUAGUAGACACUACUAAGUCUGCCAAAAUCAAGGCAUAAAAUGUUGGAUAGUUUUUAAUGUUUUACUCUGUAUCUCUUGUACUAUAUUUCAUUACAAAUUUAUCUCAUGUUAUAUAUUUGGCCAAAUAUAUAAGAAACAGCCAAAGGAAAUUCUGCUGUUCUUAGGAAAGCCUCAUGGAGGACAUUCAGUGAGUUAAGAGUACUUCAAGUUUUUAAGAAUCUAUGUCAGCAUAUAUGGUUAAUCUUGGUAUUGAACCCAUGUUUUCUAUCUAAUUAGGAGAACAAUGCCCACAUGCAGAUCACAUAAAUCCUAGCACACUGUCUAGUGUGUGCACAUAAGUCAGAAAGGAAUAUCAUAUCAUAUAUUUUUCCACAAGUACUUCUCAGAGCUGAUAUUUCUCAGUGCCUUUUCUUAAGAAGGAGCUCAAGUAUUUUACAAUACUAGAUUUUCUUCAUUUCCAUUUGGUUUUCACAAUUACCUAGGCACAAUGUUUAAAGAAAAUAUUGUGAUUUUUUUUAGUCUAUUAUGGAAUAAGAAUAUUCAGGGAUUUGCAAAAAAUCCAGUUAUUGCUUUAUUUUUUCUUACUGUUUAGUAGGGAAUACAAAUAAAAAUUUACUGUUUAAAAAAAAAAUUAAAAGGAAACCCAGAGGGAAGACAUGAAAAAGAAUGUGUGCAAAAUUCAGUGCCUCUAUAAAUUGACAGCUGGAAAUCAGAAGUGCACUUGGCUAGCUUUUAUGAUGCGUAUAACAAAUGACAGGCCAUUCAAAGGUUGAAGAAGAGAGAUAAUCUUAAAUUAAAAUAGCUUCCAAAACAGGCUGACAGUACUGUUCACAGCAAAUUAAAAAGGGAUUGACAACUGGAAAAAAAAAUGGGGGUCUGGAAUUUGAGAUGAGGAUUUUUUAAUCAUUUGGCAUUUGACUUCGUGGAUAAAAUCUUACUCGAUUUCUCCCUAGAGGUAGAAAGGCAUUUAAAAGAUAUUUCUAAAAUUUUAUUAAAACGACAAAGAUUUUAAAUGGACUAUAAAGAUUUCAUGUUUAUUUUGUCUCAAAAUUCGAAGAUCAGACUUUAAAGAUACCGGGUUAUGAGAUAUGCAAACAUUCAGAUUGGAUUUAGUCAACAUUUGUCAUUAGAUCAAAUGAAGUUAUAUGUAAAUUUUAGUUUAAUGAAUAAUGUUAUUUUAAAAAAAUACUACCUGAGUUAUAGAGUAUCAUAAAAUAGUACUAAAGGCCAUGCUAAUAUUGUUUCAGUCUUCUAAAAAGGUGGCUCUGUUUUUGCUUGCUUCUUUCAAAUGACAGUCACUGGAACAUGUGUGGAUGUUCAUGUAGGCGUCAUGGACACUGGGGCCAGUUAUUAUCUUGUAUUCACCUAGAUUGCCAUGUGAUUGAAGAAGUGUGCCAUUACUACACUUCCAAGUCUGUGAAGAUCAGUUGUUGUUUCUAUAUUUCCUUAGUAAUCAUCGUCCCUCAUAUGGAAAUACAUUGGCAGUGACUAAGCCACUUUGAGUAUAGAGCAGAAGUCCCCAGAUGAGUCAUACAGGCCGUUGGUGGAAGGCUUCAUAUUUGAAAGAAACAAAUUUUAUAUGGAGAUAGUAUUAUUUAUACUCAAAAUGGCUCCUCUAUUUAAUCUACACCUUUUAUAAGUCAGAGGAAUUUUUUGACCUGGAGGAGAAAAUCAUUAAUUCCAGAAUAAUUUAAUUUGUGACCGUCAUAAAUUUUCAGCUCCACCUCAAAGCUAAAAAAAAAAAAAAAAAAAAAAAAGACAAAAACUGGUUUGAUUAAUUUUCUAGGAUAUAUAACCAACAUUUUCUCAUUUGUGAUAGAAGGGUAAAUGGAUAAAAUUGAUUAUCCUCUGUAUUUGUCAUUCAUUAUUAACAGUUUGUGUAUUCUCAAAUUAACCAAGUUUUAAAUUAUAUAAAAUCAUUUUCUCUUAGUAUUUUAAAUGAGAAUAAGAUUGACACAAUAAUUUUGCAUAUAUGCUAUUUCUGGUAUUUUAACCUUACAAUUCUCUUUUGAAAUUACCUUCAGUAACAGUUUUUUAGUCUAGGGAAAAUAAUUACCAUAUUUUAAAAAGAAUAAGACAGUGUUUUUCAUCGGACUUAAUUCUAGAGGAGUUAUAGCUGUUUGAAAAAUAAGAUAAUUCCUGAAGGGUCCAAAAUAUUUGUCAUCAAUUUCAAGUAUAAUUCAAAAUAAGGAUUUCCAAGAAUAUUUGAGAAAUAGAAUCUUCCCUCUAAUGUCUAGAUGGUAUAAUUGAAAGGCAGUCAUCUAUAAUUUUAAAAGACCAUGCAAGUGUUAUAUAUAAUCAUUUUAAUGAAGAAUACUAUUGAUAUAUUGUAGUCACAUCACUUCAAUUACAACAUGUAUUCUUAAAUCGUAUCGUACUGUUAAAAUUUUCACAUAGGAGUUCAUAUUUACUCUAUUAGUUGAUUGUCUCAUACUUAUUUUUUAAAGGAUGUUGUGGGUUGCUUUUGAAGAUUCCUCAAAGGCUUUUAAAAGUGGAAAAGUCAGGGAAGAAGUAAUAUAGUGUGAACUGGAUAGCCUUUUUAAACAUAAGUGGAAUGGUUCCAAAAAUAAGGGGUAAGAAAUAAAAUUUUUAAACUAUAAAAGGAAAACGGUGAUAUUCAGUGAACAUUUGAAUAAACAGUCCUUAAGUAAAAAUAGUAUGACAAAAUUGUCUUUCAUAAGAAUAUAAUAUUUAUAAUAAUACCUCAAAGGACUGUAAUGUGGAUUAAAAGAAAACAUGUAUGAGGUGACUAGAUCACUCUUAGAUGAUGGUUAAACCAAAAUCAGUCUAAUUUUAUUUAUCAGUAUGCUUCAUUUUCAUAAGAAAACAAGUAUAAAUCAUUUUGUUUAGUCUGUCUAAUGAGAAUGUUGUCAUCUACUGUUAAUACAAGUUCUUGAACAUGGAACUGUGUACAUAUAAACAUCCUCUUUUCAUUCAUUUAUUCAUUAAAUUAAAAAAGUCAGUAUUAAAAUAACGGAAAACGUGAUGAAUUAUACAAUUAAUUAAAUUUGCUCAAAUGCAAAUUAAUUUAAUUAAUUAGAUUCUUUUCAUGGUUCUUUUAGCACAAAUAUUACAGUAUUCUAAAUAGCUUGUGAAUAAAACUUUUAGUAGCUGAUUUUGAGAUGGUUUAUAUUUUAAUGAAUAGACAAAACCUGAAAAUUUGAAUAUGAAAUUAUUCACUUUGAUGGCCUUCAAGUUAUGAAUAUGCAGCCUCCCUCUGUGUGUAAUAAAGUAUAUUUUUUGUUUAUAAUCUUUUAAAUAAAGUUCAGUUAAGUUUAUGAAAAUACAAUAAUAAAAACUAUCAUUAGGCCACAAUAAAGCCAGUUCUUAUGGAUCAGUAGAAUUAACUAUACAUAUUCGGGUUGGGGAGUUAAAUAUAUUUUACUCAUAGAGCAUUAAAUAUACUGUUUUUAGUUUUCUCAGAAAGGAUGUGCUAAGAUUAAAAUUGACUUCUAUUUUUAUGCAUUCUAUCAAAAUCUGAAUAUGUAUAUACACACACAAAUGUUUAUUUGGCAAGCAUCUAAUUUUAUAACUGGCAUUAACUUGUACAAAUAAUAAAAAAUUAACAUAAAAUGUAAAUUUGAGUAACUGGUAAUCAUGUGUCUUGUUGAGUAUUAUAGUACUUCGGUAAAACUCGACAUUAAGAAUUAUGUACAAAAGUAGCCAUUAGGACUCUAUGUAAAAAAAUGCCAUAACCACAGUGUUAUAAUAUUCCUUUCUCUGCCUUUCAAGACUUUCAACACAUAAUCUUUUCUCCUCUCUUAAUUAAAAUAGACCUUUUGCUUCAUUUAGAACAACAUGGGUAAUUCUAAACACAUUCCAGACUUUCUGUUUUUUUGUUAGAUUAUUCCUUAUUUUUUAAAAUGGAGUCUGGUUCUGUCACCCAGGCUGGAGUGCAGUAGCUCACUGCAACCUCCACCUCCUGGUUCACGCGAUUCUCUUCUCUCAGCCUCCUGAGUAGCUGGGAUUACAGGCGCCUGCCACCAUGCCCAGCUAAUUUUUGUAUUUUUAGUAGAGAUGGGGUUUCACCAUGUUGGCCAGGCUGGUCUCGAACUCGUGCCCUCAAGUGAUCCGCCUGCCUUAGCCUCCCAAAGUGCUGGGAUUACCAGCAUGAGCCCAAGCGCCUGGCCAAGUUGUUCCUCUUUUGUUUAUCCACAUAAAUAAUUAUUAAAAGUCACGGAUUUUCUAGUAUAUAGGUUAUGUCUGUAAUGAAGUUAAAAAUAAUCAUUUCAUGAAUACAUCUUAGUGUUUUGUGCUGUGACAAGGCUUAGUAGAUACUUCAUUGCUCAAAGGAAUCUGAAUCUCUCCUUUCAACACAUAGGAUUAUGCACCCUUUCUAACCUGCAGCAGGGUGGUAAUAUGUGGUUGACAUUUUUCCAUUGGUUAUAGGUGGAAGUGACAUGUAUGACUUUCAAGCUGGUGGAUUUAAUUGCCAGCACAGGGCCCUCUGGAACUCUCUUUCUGCCCCAUGACCUUGUAGAUGGAAUCUCCAUCAGUCUAAGUUCCUUCGUUGAAUGAAAACAUACUGCAGACUGCCCCACUUUCCACACCUGAAUUCCACCAGCAGCAAGCAGUGGGUUGUAGGAUGAGUGAAAAACAGCAACAAACCAACUACUUUGAUGUUUUUACCUACUUAAAUUAUAUAUGUGUGUGUGCGUGUGUGUGUGUGUAUAUAUAUGUAUAUAUGCAUGUGUAUAUAUAUAUCUCAAAUACACACAACAAAUAUGGUAUUUCCACUUAAAUCUUCCUGAAAUAUUAUUCAUUUACUUAUCUUUGUGUCAUCCUUCUAUUUAUAAAAUUACUAAUGAAUUGAUUUAAAUCUGGCUUCCUCUGCUUCUCAGGAUUUUUUUUCCCCAAGAUGUUUCAAAAUCAAAAUUUUUAUCUAAAAGUUUUAUCUCUAAAAUAAAUUUUAAAGCUUAUUUUUUUCAAGUCUUAAAACCUUUCUCAAUCAGAUUUUCAGGAGCUGCACAAUAGAACUGUUACUUCCCUUCUCUUAUUUUCAAUCUUCUAUCCUUUUUCUCUUUAGUCCCGAUUUUAAAACAAUGGCAGGUUAGGGAAAACAAAAACCCACAGCUUACUCUCUUAGGAGGUUGGAGGAGAAAUUGAUUUUAGGCUCUUGAUAGUUUAAGUCUACAUUUUUGUUCCUUUCCAUGUCCACAGAUCAAUAUAUUACCUGAAUACAUAAAUCUUAUAUGCUGAAAUAAUAUCUCCAAUUUAUUAUAUAAAAUUCAAAAUCUGUGACCCACAGUAUGUGAUGUUAACCUUUCCUACUGAUACAGUUACACCACUUAAUUUAUGACAAAAAUAAUUGAACUAACAUGUACUAUAUAAUCAUAGGUUAGAGGCCAAAAUCAAAUUAAGAGAUUGAAUUUAACCUGAAUUGGUAGAUUGCGGUAAAAAACGGAAAGAAGCAUAUUUAAACUAUCAAUAAAAUAAGACAUUUUUGCAUUAUGGGAAACUAUGUAUCAUAUUCUAAUACCAUUACUGCAACUAUAGCAUUGCUAUACUCACCUUAAUUGAAAUAUUUUUCAUUAAGAUCACAAAGGAUAAAACCUAAAUGGAAACCGAAAAUAAAUUAGAGGUUAUCAAUGGACUAAGUAUGACUAUUAUGUGCCUUGUUGAUUUUCAAUUUAUCAAUAAAGUAUACUUUAAAAUAUAUUGGAAAUUUUACUUUGGAACUUUUAGAUUUUCAUUUGUCUUAUUACUUCCAUCUGUCAUGUAACGUUUUACUGACUUUCAUUUGUUGAAUUUCUAGGUAAAUAAUGUAGAAGGCAUUUGUCACCCAUCAUCACCUGUGUGCUCCCCCAAGACUUUGGCCAUGCCAAAUGUAGACCUUCUGCUAUAUUGUAAUAUUAAUGAUAAUAUUGGAGACUUUGGUACAGGAAUGUUGAGAAGUCUGUUCUAACCAAUACCCACCCACUUGGUUCCAAACUUCAAAUUCUGUUGGUAAUAUACAGUUGGUACUUGUGCAGAAUUGUUUUCUUCUUUAGAUUUUCAUUUUAUGUUAGUGUGUGGUGACUACAAAUUUAAUCUACUUAUAUAAUAUCUUAUAUAAAUAAGAAUCCUCCAGGAUAAAAGUCUACAAAGGAAUAUGACAUUUACACAUUUGGCAGAUCUGUAUCUAUAUUUGUGUUUGGUAUAAAUAGUAAGUUCUAGAUUUCAGCAUGAAAUAUUGCCAAAUAUUCUAAUUCCAUUAUAUUUCAAAGAGUUUAUCCACAAAAUUAUGGUCUUACUAUGAUUUGUACAUUUCAAAAAUUUGUACAAUUAAACAUUUCUAAGCUCUACUUAGAAAAUAGCAUUACAGCAUUUGCCAGAAAAAAAAAAAAAGUUAAAAAGUUCAGGAAAUCAAUCUUGGUCUAAAAUAAAAUAUACCUUUGUGGGUAACAUUCUCAAAAUUGAAAUAUUUAGAAUACCAUUUCAAAUCUUCUACUAAAUCUCUGUUUUACUUGGCAUAAAUACACAUGUGUAUACACUUCAUAUAUGUAUAUCUUUCAUGCAUAGAAAUCUUUCCAGCAAGCUGUGCAUUGAUUCAAAUUCCAGAUAAAAGUUUCUUAAGCUAGAAAAUAAGUACACUUUGAUAGUCUGUAUUUUGACGUUGAUAGCAUUUAUUUCAACUUAUUCUGAACAAAUUGAAAGAAGGAAGUUGUUUAGAAAUGGACAUAACAAAUAACAUCCAGGGGUUUCAGGAAAGUUUUCAUCUUAAUGAACACAUCUUUAUGCUCUAAAAACACUAAUAAUACCUGUGAAUGAUUUAUUAUAUUUUAAUAAAGGAUGUGAAUUCUAGAUAAAAAAUUUGAUUUUUGAUUUAAAAUAAAAAACUUUAUAUGAAAUAAUAAGACAUUUCAAGAAGUAGAAAAGAUCACAGGGCAUACCCUUGGAAUCAAGAAAAUAAAUUUGCAUUAAGGAAAAGCCCCUUUGAGACUAACACAAACAGUAAAUUCAAUCUCAUUGCAUUUGGAAUCUCUAAAAGCCUGAAAAACUCACUUUUUUCUGUCCUCACACACACACAAAAAAUUAUAUAAGGUUUUUGCAGUGUGUAGAUGUAUCAGAACUAAAUUUUUUUUUCCUUUGAAAUCUAUUUUUCUUAUUUUUUUUAAGUUCCAGGGUACAUGUGCAGGAUGUGCAGGUUUGUUACAUAGGUAAACAUGCAACCCAUCACCUUGGUAUUAAGCCCACCAUGCAUUACCUAUUAUUCCUAAUGCUCUCCCUUCUCCUACCCCCUGACAGGCCUCAGUGUGUGUUGUUCCCCUCCCUGUGUCCAUGUAGAACUACUUUUUAAAUGAUGUAAAUGUCAUUAAUUGUACAUGUAUUAAGUACACAUCAGUUUACAUAGAGAACAGAAUAAUAUGAUCUGAUUCCUACAGUGAUUCACACACACUCCUACCUUCCUGUUUAAGAAGGUAUUGCUACCUGUUUUAGAGUAUGUAAUUUUAAAAAUAGAAAAAGAAAGAAUAUAUUAAACAGUAAUAAAAUGUACUGGCUUUUAAUUUUAACUACAAAUUGUUAGAAGUGUCACAUCUAGGAAUAGUGAAUGGAAGGGAAAAAUUGAAGACUGAUGUCUCAGUAAAAUGAAUAUAAAAGAUUUUCAACUGGAUCAGACAAAUGAAAAGGUUUUGCUACAGAUAUAUUUGGAAAGGGCAGUGAAACUGACAAAUAAUGUGAAAGAUCUUGGCUUCCGUCAGUUUGAUACAGAAUGCAAACUGACAAGAAAGUAAAGGAUUCUUUUAAAACCAUGAGUAAGAUUAAUAUGAAGGCAAAUGCGUUUUGGGAAGAAUGGUAAAAUUCAUUUCAGUAUAACAUCAAUGUUUACAUCAGAGUAACUACUGGUUUAAAAUUAAAUUGAGUUUAUUCUUAACAUGUCUAAUUUUGUGUUUUGAGAAAUAUGCAUUUUGGUAUUACAUCUUACUGAAAAGUCAUUUAUAGUUUUAUUGUUGAGGAUUAAAAAUCUGAUAAGUUUCUAAGUAAUUAAAUCUUGUCAGACCUGCCUUCUGAUGAUGAUGUUUGGCAUGCAUGCAUUGAGUUCUGAUGCAGUUUUAAAUCAUUUCAGAAAGCCAGAGGUGCAAGUGAAUUGCAGAAGAGUCACGCAUUGAUGGUGAGGAGACUAUGUCAGCAAUUUGAAGUAUCUUUAUAAUACAUAUAUGACUCCUGUGGUAGAACUUUAUGGCCUUAUAAGACCAUGUAAUCAUCAAGCCUCAGUCUCUUGAGGCUUGCUGUAAGUGUAAAGGCACAGUAGAUUACCUCAUCAUUCUAAUGGAGGCAGCAGGGAAAUUGCUUAUUCUCCAAGUGCACAGCAAGCAUUAGUCAAAGUGCUGUACAUGUAAGAUAUGCAGGCGUUCUAUCCCUGGGUACAUGAUUUACAUCAAUAAUGAUUUUGAAAAAGGCAAAUAAAACAAUGCAUUAGAAAAUAAUGGGUUUGUAUUGGUUUCAACAUCCUUCAUAUUAUCUCUUCUUGAUAGAGUGAGUUUUAUAUAGAUACAUGGAAUUUAUAAUCAGUACAUUUAUUUUAAUGCAAAAGGCACAUUUUGCCAUUUUAGUUAAAUGAAAACAAUGUUAAAGUGUACCAGUCACUGAUCACUUUUUAAUGGGAAAUUAUGUUUUUGUUUGUGAGAGUUGGGUCUACAUUGCUUCCUCUUAGCAACUUCUAUCUGAUUCCUAUUUCUUGCUUUAUUUUUUUAUUUUUUUUAUUUUUUAGACGAAGUCUUGCUCUGUCACCCAGGCUGGAGAGCAGUUGUGCAAUCUCGGCUCAUUGCAACCUCGGCUCACUGCAACCACUGCCUCGUGGGUUCAAGUCAUUCUCCUGCCUCAGCCUCCCAAGUAGCUGGGACUAUAGAUGCAUGCCACCAUGCCCGAGUAAUUUUUGUAUUUUUAGUAGAGACAGGGUUUCACCAUGUUGGCCAGGCUGGUCUUGAACUCCUGACCUCAAGUGAUCUGCCUGCCUCGGCCUCCCAAAGUGUUGGGAUUACAGGCGUGAGCUACUGGACCUGUCCUUGCUUGCCUCUUAAACCUGAGGAUUCAUAGACAUUAUUGGUGUCAUUUUAGUGAUAAUUUUAGUCAAGCAAUAUUUUGAAUUGUCACUGAAACAUGAUUCCCAAAUCUGAUUCUUCCUUAUACACUUCAUGGCUAAGAUGCAGAUUGACUACUCUGAUUGCCUUUUUUAAACAACGCGGUUUAAUGGAUAUCUCAGAAGCACCUCACGUUAUGUUCAAAAUUGAAUGUAUCACUGUUGUCCCCAAGUGUACCUCUCUUCCAAUGUUCAUAUCUUUGUUAAUAACACUAAGAACCCAAGUCAGAAAACCAUGCUUCCUGUUUUCUCCUUUCCCACAUUUGUUACUGUGGCCUGUAGAUUUUUUCUCAACAUCUUUUUAAUCUCUUUCCACUCUCUAUAUCCACCACCGCUGUUUUAGUUCAGAAUGGUAUUACUCCUCACCAGUCUGAUGGUACCUGCUUUCUCUCUUCUCUAUUCACAUCUGGCUGGCUUUUGCAGAUAUGAUUAUUUCAUACUUCAGCUUAUUAUGGCCCUCUGUAAUUCUCAGAAUAAUUAUUUUAACUUUAGUAUUCCUAGAUUAUUAUAAUCAUGUCUCUCUAAUAACAUCCCUGCAAUUGCCCCACAUUCCUCAUCCAUUCAGCUGUUUUGAACAAUGUUCAACUCCCAGAAUGCCCUAUGUCUAUUUCUGCCUGUGUGCCUGUACAGCGAGUUCACUGGAUCAGGCAUGCGGUCCUUCUACUACCUCUCUGCCCUUUCUUUAAUACUGCUUAUCACCUCUUUCAGAAAAUCUUUUGUGACCACUACUUCUACCCUGCCCCUCAAAACCUUUGCUUAGUUUCUGAUAGGCAGGUGUUACUCAUAGGGUCUGUUAUGCAAAGCAAAAUUUGAUUUAGAUGCUUUAUCUAUGUGUCUUCUCAAUUAGACUCAAAGUAUCUUCAAAAAUAGUGAUCACAACUUAUUUGAAAUUGAAUUUUAAGAGCCUUAUGAAGAAUUAUUAAAUAGUGAUUUUUAAAAAUGAUUAAAUAUGAUGCUGGAGUUAGACCUUUUUCUUUCUAGGAUAUAUCAAUUACAGUAAAAAAUUGAAACUGUAAUCUGUCACAAUACUCUUUUGUGCCAUCUGUAUCUGUUUGGAUGUUUUGUUAUUGCAGGAUAUUUUGAUAUUGAGAGUUUGUCCUUGCAAUAUCAUACUAGAUCAUACCAUCAUGUUGAUAUCUAGGUAUUUCCUAUUUGUCAAUAUCAUUGUGUCUACUGGUUUAUUGAAAUGCUUUAUAUUAAUAUUUCCAUGGCUAGUUGUCUUUAAAAUCCCAGUUUAAAAUACAGUUCUUCAGAGAGGAUAUUCCUGAGAACUUGAUUUACGGUAGCCACCUAGUCAAUCUCUAUGGCAUCUCCAGAUUUAAUUCUUUAAAGAGCACUCAUGAUGUUCUUACUUAUGUGUUUAUUGUGUUUCUCUUCCAGUAAAGUGUUAGAAGUCCUGUCUGUCUUGAUAGGCCCUGGAGCUCGGGUAUAGGAGUCUGCAAAGUAUGGCCCACUGUCUGUUUUUAUAAAUACAGUUUUAUGGGAACACAGCCACACCCAUUUGUUUAUGUGUUGUCUAAGGAAGUUUUUGUGCUACUGCUGUAAAGGGAGUUGUGACAGAGACCAUGUGGACCAUAGACCUAAAACAUUUACCGCCUGGUUCUUUAAGAAAAAGUGUGCCUAUUCUCGUGCUCAAGAGCUUAGAAAGGUUCCAGACACAUAAUAGGUGUUUAGUAAAUAUUUAUUGGAUGAAUGUCUGACAGAAAUGAGAUGAUUAGAAAAUGAAGCACAUACAUUGGGAAAUACUUAACAAGAAGCUUCAUAGUGAUAUUCACUGACUUAAAGGACUUAUCUAAAAAUUGGGCCAGUAUUUACACCACGCUCUUCAGAACAUCUCCAUUAAAAGGGGUGAUUUUAUCACAGAACUUGAAGUUAAACUAAAAACAGGAUUAAAUGGACAUUUGAAUGGAUGAAAUCUCUCUGAUUCAGAUGAUACCCAUCCACCGCCUAUCAUUGUUGGUUGAAGGAAAGAAAAGGAAAUGUUCUACCAUUUGUACUUGGUCAGAUAUGAUGAAAAUUAUUUCCAACUUAAAAAUAUCCAACAGAGAGGUACAGUUCAUAUAUUCACACACUCUUUCAUUCAUUAACAAAUAGAUAUUGUUAGUAUGUACCAAAACAUACUAGUUAUUACUGUUUAUGGCGUGCCUGUUAUACGUUAAGUAUAGCAUAUUUUAAUUUUCACAACCCUAGCUAUUGUACAUAAUGUUUUCUCCACCUCAUUCCUGAAAACUAGAAGUCUGUGCAAUUGUAUAGUUUACUCAAGGUGGUACAACUGUGCAUUAAACACAGGUUUGUCACAUCCCAUUGCCUCUUUCACUAUAUUCUAGGCAUCAGGGAAAAUAACGUGGUGCCUACCCUACCCAGUAUAAUAGAAGGCACACACAUAAAGAUAGUGAAACGUAGGAAGUAUUUUAAUAGAAGAAUAUAGAAAAAAAUAAGGAGUGGGGAGGGAGUUGAUACUCUGCUGGGUGAGGGGAGAUGGUGUGGGGAAAAUCGAGGAACACCCUGUAGAGCAGGUGAUGCUGAACUGUAAUAAAAAAGAAGGGAGAAGUUUAACAAGUAGGCAUAGGAAAAAACUCAGUCCAGACAGAGAAGACAGCAUACAGAAUGACAUUUGAGGCAGGAGUAAACUUUGCAUCCUCUGAGAAUGGCAAAAGUCUUGUUAUGGCUUGGGCUUGUUGUGUUUGAAAGAGCAGUAGGAGAGGACACCAGAAGGAUGGAUGGAAGCCAGUCAUAAAAGACCAGCUUUUAUGGAGAACCAACAAAUACUUUUAAUUAGGGAAGACAUUUGCCAAGUAGAAUAUUGUGGCAGCAGUAGGAGGAAUGGAUGGAAGUGAGCUGGAAUUAGAGGGAGGGAGGGUAUUUAAAGGUUACACAAAAGACCCAAGAGUACGGCUAGGAGCAGAAACGAGGAUAGCUACACUGGCAUUAGAACCGACAUGACUUGGUUGUUUACCAUCCUCUAUUAUCUUUUGUCAGAUUGGAAAACUUUUAAGUCAUUUA